rnacentral:ncRNA from 1 species
UGAAUCCCGCCUUGGUAACUGCUAGCCACAGGCCAAGUAUCUAGCCUUGCAGACAAUCCAGCAAUGGGCUGUUUGAUGCGUAGGCAAGAAAGCAGGCGAGGCGCAAUGGUAACGGAUAAAGCCGACCGUGAAGGUUGAAGUCCCGGAAUGACCGCAUUGGAAGUGGCCGAUGGUUUCUGUACACCAGCAGGCAAUAGCAGACACGGCGUGGAGUAGAAAGGGCAAGGUGACGUGGUCAAGUAAAA